rnacentral:rRNA from 1 species
CGUAGGUGGCAAGCGUUGUCCGGAAUUAUUGGGCGUAAAGCGCGCGCAGGCGGUUCCUUAAGUCUGAUGUGAAAGCCCCCGGCUCAACCGGGGAAGGUCAUUGGAAACUGGGGAACUUGAGCGCAGAAGAGAAGAGCGGAAUUCCACGUGUAGCGGUGAAAUGCGUAGAGAUGUGGAGGAACACCAGUGGCGAAGGCGGCUCUUUGGUCUGUAACUGACGCUGAGGCGCGAAAGCGUGGGGAGCAAACAGGAUUAGAUACCCUGGUAGUCCACGCCGUAAACGAUGAGUGCUAAGUGUUAGAGGGUUUCCGCCCUUUAGUGCUGCAGCUAACGCAUUAAGCACUCCGCCUGGGGAGUACGGCCGCAAGGCUG